CAGUAGCCACGGGAAUACGAAGGGGGCUAGCGUUGUUCGGAAUUACUGGGCGUAAAGGGCGCGUAGGCGGCCAUUCAAGUUUGAUGUGAAAGCCCUGGGCUCAACCUAGGAAUUGCAUUUGAUACUGUUUGGCUUGAGUUCGGGAGAGGUGAGUGGAAUUCCCAGUGUAGAGGUGAAAUUCGUAGAUAUUGGGAAGAACACCAGUGUCGAAGGCGGCUCACUGGACCGACACUGACGCUGAGGCGCGAAAGCGUGGGGAGCAAACAGGAUUAGAUACCCGCGUAGUCCCUGUCUCUUAUAU
rnacentral:rRNA from 1 species